CUGGCAUCUCGCGUUAGCGCCGCCCGGGGCCGAUGCUGCUGCCUACCUUCCCUCCUGGAGAAAGCUGGCAGCUGGGGUUCACCUGGCUCUUUCCUUCUCAGUGCAGCUGAUGGAGUCCCCUGUAGACCUUCUAAAUUCUACCGCAGGAAGCCGCAAGCCCCACCACCGGUGGCUUCAGGAGCUUCACCCUCAGAGCUGUCCAGAGCCUGUUCAUUCAUUCGCUCUUUCUUUCACCCAAGGUGUGUCUCACUGAGUGAAUGGGAAGUUACCGCUGGGACUUGAGCAGAGUGUGAGGCCCAUCCACGUGCCAGGCAAUACCCUUCGGGAUGACUCAGCAAAGUCAAGUGUGGGGUCCAGGGUUGACACCCGAAGGUCCCCGCAGAGCUCCACAGUAGGCCGGGGCAGCCGAGAGUGGCUCUGGGAGCAGGCUGCUGGGGCCGGGCCUGGGGUUUCUGCUCCUGGCACCCGCCAACACCGGAUAGCACUGACGUUUACCUGGUUGGCUCCUGCGGAGACUGGUGAACUGCACAGUUAUCGCCACGUUGGAAAUCUCCACGGUGCAUUUGUGCAGUCGCUUUUGGAACUCAGAUGAAUGGGUUUCCUAUACGAUGGAAUAUUAUUCAGCCUUUAAAAAGAAGAAAAUUCUGCCAUUUGCAACAACAUGGGAUUACCUGGAGGACAUUAUGCUAAGUGAAGUAAGCCAGACACAGAAAGUGACUGAGCUGUAAGAACCUAUGAGCUCCCUGGAGAAGGAAACAGUGUGGAUGGAAAGGAAUCUGGAGCAGAGACGGGCCUGGGGGAUCCUGCCUUGCCUGCCCUUUAUGAAGAGGUUGCUGGGGCCGUCGUUGGUGGCCCAACUGGCCAGGGAAGGGCUGUGAAGCAAGUCACUGGGUCCAGACCACACUUAAAGGGAAGGAUUACUUGCAAGAAUCAUGACAGCCAUUUCAGAAGCUACUGGGACACUUAGAAAUAUCCCUGCAAAAU